AUUGAACGCUGGCGGCAGGCCUAACACAUGCAAGUCGAGCGGAUCGGCGGACGGGUGAGUAAUGCCUAGGACUCGGCAUGGUAGUGGGGGAUGACGUCCGGAACUGGGCGCUAAUACCGCAUACUAUCAGAUUAGCCUGGGUCGGAUUAGCUAGUUGGUGGGGUAACGGCAUACCAAGGCGACGAUCCGGAACUGGUCUGAGAGGAUGAGCAGUCACACUGGAACUGAGACACGGUCCAGACUCCUACGGGAGGCAGCAGUGGGGAAUAUUGGACAAUGGGCGAAAGCCUGAUCCAGCCAUGCCGCGUGUGUGAAGAAGGCCUUCGGAUUGUAAAGUACUUUAAGUUGGGAGGCGUUACCCGCAGAAGAAGCACCGGCUAACUCCGUGCCAGCAGCCGCGGUAAUAC
rnacentral:rRNA from 1 species